rnacentral:lncRNA from 1 species
UAUUCUAUUUUUAAGGUUUUAUGUGAUCACCAAUUUCAUGCAAAAGCAAAAAGUGAAAAUAAUUGGGAAAACAAACAUUUAACAUGAAUUUAUUGAAUGAAAUAUCAUUGUAUUUAUGAGCCAACAAUGUCAUCACUUCUCCUUUUGGCAUGGGAGAAGGGUUUUUAAACAAACAAUGAAUAUUACGUUGACUUAUGGACAACUGUUGGAACAUCAAC